ACAGCAGUAGCCACGGUAAUACGUAGGUGGCAAGCGUUGUCCGGAAUUAUUGGGCGUAAAGGGCUCGCAGGCGGUUUCUUAAGUUUGAUGUGAAAGCCCCCGGCUCAACCGGGGAGGGUCAUUGGAAACUGGGAAACUUGAGUGCAGAAGAGGAGAGUGGAAUUCCACGUGUAGCGGUGAAAUGCGUAGAGAUGUGGAGGAACACCAGUGGCGAAGGCGACUCUCUGGUCUGUAAUUGACGCUGAGGAGCGAAAGCGUGGGGAGCGAACAGGAUUAGAUACCCCCGUAGUCCCUGUCUCUUAUAC
rnacentral:rRNA from 1 species